rnacentral:tRNA from 1 species
GGGGACGUGGCGAAACUGGUAACCGCGCCCGCGGGGCUCAAGCGGGUGCGCCCUCGGGCGCUGCGGGUUCAAAUCCCGCCGUCUCCGCCU